rnacentral:lncRNA from 1 species
GCGAAUCUUACUUAGCGUUUUUUUUGUAUGCAUUUGUUACAAUCUGUGUCUCAAAUAGAUAUUUUCAUUUUGUAACCAAUUGGUUGUAAUUAGAUAAUUUUGUUUGUUGGUCAAGACCAUAAAAUUGAUUUCUAUUGGCUGCAUUAUUCGUUAUUUUUGGGGAGUUCAUCACAUGACAGUUGUGAAUCUCGCAAUUUGUCUAACCUUUACGCCCUAAUUAAAAAAAAAAAAAAAAUCCGGCUACCUGAACGUAGCUAUUGCUAAAUUUAGAUAUGGUACGUAGUUGAAAAACCGCGUGAUUAUUAGUCGUCUAUUUUAGGUUAAAAGGAUCUUGUUACAUAAUUAAAGAAUCUAAUGUACUGUUUGACACUAAUAGAACUUGCUUGUAGUCCGG